CAGUCGCCGCGGUAAAACGUAGGUCCCGAGCGUUGUCCGGAUUUAUUGGGCGUAAAGCGAGCGCAGGCGGUCAGAAAAGUCUGAAGUGAAAGGCAGUGGCUCAACCAUUGUAGGCUUUGGAAACUGUUUAACUUGAGUGCAGAAGGGGAGAGUGGAAUUCCAUGUGCAGCGGUGAAAUGCGUAGAUAUAUGGAGGAACACCGGUGGCGAAAGCGGCUCUCUGGUCUGUAACUGACGCUGAGGCUCGAAAGCGUGGGGAGCGAACAGGAUUAGAGACCCCUGUAGUCCCUGUCUCUUAUACA
rnacentral:rRNA from 1 species